CCGUCGAUAGCUCAGUUGGUAGAGCGGUGGACUGUAGAUUCGAUUCACGAAAGUCGUGAAAGUUGUUGCAUUCACGUUAAGAUAUCCAUAGGUCGCUGGUUCAACUCCGGCUCGACGGA
rnacentral:tRNA from 1 species